GACGAACGCUGGCGGCGUGCCUAAUACAUGCAAGUAGAACGCUGAGGACUGGUGCUUGCACUGGUCUAAGGAGUUGCGAACGGGUGAGUAACGCGUAGGUAACCUACCUCAUAGCGGGGGAUAACUAUUGGAAACGAUAGCUAAUACCGCAUAAUGCAACGGAAUCGCAUGACUCUGUUGCCAAAGAUUUAUCGCUCUGAGAUGGCCUCGCGUCUGAUUAGCUAGUUGGCGGGGUAACGGCCCACCAAGGCGACGAUCAGUAGCCGGACUGAGAGGUUGGCCGGCCACAUUGGGACUGAGACACGGCCCAG
rnacentral:rRNA from 1 species